UUUGGAUAUGGCACGCAUUUUUUGGACCUCCAGGAACAUUGAACGAUAUCAAUGUUCUCGAUCGCUCACCAGUUUUUGAUGACGUAUUACAAGAUCCGAAAUCAUCUUUAUUUGCUACAUGUCAAGAAGCCACACGUAAAGAUGUCGAGCGUGCUUUUGGCGUCUUACAAGCUCGAUUUGCCAUAGUAAAGAAUCCAGCUCUUGUCCAUGAUAAGGCAAAAAUUGGAAAAAUAAUAAGAGCGUGUAUCAUAUUGCACAAUAUGAUAGUAGAAGACGAAAGAGAUGGGUACGCUACUCAGUUUGAUGCCGCAGCAUUCGCACAAGCAGAUUCAAGUAGAGCUUCACAAGUUGAUCUCGCAUAUUCAACAGAUAUGUCUUCAAAUCUCACUAACAUAAUGAUAAUGAACAGACGAAAUAAAGUUCAUGAUCGAAAAAUACAUCAAAGAUUGAAAGAUGAUUUGGUUGAGAAUAUAUGGCAGAAAUUUGGCACCAAUCAAGAUUACAAUUAAUUGUGUUUGUAAUGUGUUUUAAAUAUACUUUUAUGUAUUAAUUGUUUAAAAUCUUAUGAAAUAUAUUCAUUUUCAAGUUUUUAUAAA